rnacentral:rRNA from 1 species
ACUCCUACGGGAGGCAGCAGUGGGGAAUUUUGGACAAUGGGCGAAAGCCUGAUCCAGCACUGCCGCGUGAGUGAAGAAGGCCUUCGGGUUGUAAAGCUCUUUUGUCAGGGAAGAAACGGUGAAAGCUAAUAUCUUUUGCUAAUGACGGUACCUGAAGAAUAAGCACCGGCUAACUACGUGCCAGCAGCCGCGGUAAUACGUAGGGUGCAAGCGUUAAUCGGAAUUACUGGGCGUAAAGCGUGCGCAGGCGGUUUUGUAAGUCUGAUGUGAAAUCCCCGGGCUCAACCUGGGAAUUGCAUUGGAGACUGCAAGGCUAGAAUCUGGCAGAGGGGGGUAGAAUUCCACGUGUAGCAGUGAAAUGCGUAGAUAUGUGGAGGAACACCGAUGGCGAAGGCAGCCCCCUGGGUCAAGAUUGACGCUCAUGCACGAAAGCGUGGGGAGCAAACAGGAUUAGAAACCCGAGUAGUCCCAUGAU